UGAACGCUGGCGGCGUGCCUAAUACAUGCACGUCGAGCGAACAGACGAGGAGCUUGCUCCUCUGACGUUAGCGGCGGACGGGUGAGUAACACGUGGAUAACCUACCUAUAAGACUGGGAUAACUUCGGGAAACCGGAGCUAAUACCGGAUAAUAUAUUGAACCGCAUGGUUCAAUAGUGAAAGACGGUUUUGCUGUCACUUAUAGAUGGAUCCGCGCCGCAUUAGCUAGUUGGUAAGGUAACGGCUUACCAAGGCAACGAUGCGUAGCCGACCUGAGAGGGUGAUCGGCCACACUGGAACUGGGACACGGUCCAGACUCCUACGGGAGGUAGCAGUAGGGAAUCUUCCGCAAUGGGCGAAAGCCUGACGGAGCAACGCCGCGUGAGUGAUGAAGGUCUUCGGAUCGUAAAACUCUGUUAUUAGGGAAGAACAAAUGUGUAAGUAACUAUGCACGUCUUGACGGUACCUAAUCAGAAAGCCACGGCUAACUACGUG
rnacentral:rRNA from 1 species